UUUCUGACUUACAACCCGGGAUUUCUUUUUCAGCAGAACUUGUUGAGGACUUUCAAGAAAGGAAAGUGCUGGAGGUGCAGCGAGGCUUCUGAUAAGCGUGAAACAGAACUUGCAAAUGGAAAUGAAUAUGCAAUCAAAUAUAUGCUGCGUUGCCCUGCUGGAUUCAA